rnacentral:rRNA from 1 species
GGCCUAACACAUGCAAGUCGAGCGGAUGAAGGGAGCUUGCUCCCUGAUUCAGCGGCGGACGGGUGAGUAAUGCCUAGGAAUCUGCCUAUUAGUGGGGGACAACAUCUCGAAAGGGAUGCUAAUACCGCAUACGUCCUACGGGAGAAAGCAGGGGACCUUCGGGCCUUGCGCUAAUAGAUGAGCCUAAGUCGGAUUAGCUAGUUGGUGGGGUAAA